GAUUGUUAGCACAGCUGGUAGAGUAGUUGACUUUUAAUCAAUGGGUCGCAGGUUCGAGCCGAGCGAAGCG
rnacentral:tRNA from 1 species